UUGUGAACUGUUUUAAAAGAACAGUGAGUGUGAAACAUUUCGGGGGGAUCUAUCGGUAGAAAUUGAAUAUAAUAUAAAUAAAUAUGUUUUCUUUAGUGUAUAAUCACCUGAAACUAAGAAUUGUUGUGUUUUUGUUACCUUAAAAUGAGCCGUUUAUAUCUACAUAGGGAGCGGGUCCUCUU